AAAACAGUCCUGCAGCUGAUGUGAUGCACCUUCUGGCCAGGUUUUCACAGUUUUUGUGACUGGGGGGGCUCUUCUCCUAAUGGGAGUGUAUGCAGGGAUCAGCAGCAUGGACAUGUGGUCUGACAAACCUAGAUGUGGUAGAGGGGUUGCUCUGUAGCCUUUUUGGAUGUUGCUGUAUGCUUUAUCCAAUGUGUUUUUCCCCCUGGUUGCACAUUUAAUAUGCUGUUCAAAUCUGGGGAAUACUGACCUUAAAUCAGCAUGGUUGAAGUCCCCAGCUAUAAUGUGCACUGCGUUUGGAUGGGAGUUCUGCUGGUUGCUUAUUGUCUUGUGCAGCUCCUCCAUGGCCGAGUUAGCAUUGGCAUCGGGUGGUACAUACACGGCCGUUACCAUGACAACAGUAAACUCGCGAGGUAUGUAGACGGGUCUGCACUUCACAGUCAAAUAUUCCAAAUCCGGGGAACAAUGGCUGUCUACAGUCUUUGUGUUUUUGCACCAGCUGUCAUUGGUGUAGAUGCAUAAACCCCCUCCUUUGUUCUUACCGGAGUGGCCGUUCCUGUCGUGACGGUGGACCGUGCAGCCUGCUAGCUCAAUAGCCGAGUCCGGAAUUGAUGGCUGCAGCCAAGUCUCUGUGAGCUGAGGAUCGUCCUGUAUGGACAGAGUGGACAGGGUAAAAGUACUCUAGGAGGCAUCAUCCUGGGCAACAGAGAAAUAUUCACUUCUAAUAAGGACUCAAAGAAGUGCCAUAAGGAAAGAAAGACCAUCACGGGUCGAGAAGUGGUUGUUGUCGACACUCCAGGUCUGUUUAAAGUAGGUGAUGAUCGAGAGGAAGUGGUGGAAGAGAUCAAGCGGUCCAUCAAACAUGCUGAACCUGGUCCUCAUGUCUUCCUGUAUGUGGAGAGGUUUAAAGAGAUCUCACAAGAGAAAUUAGACGCACUGAAGGUUUUUCAGGACACGUUUGGUAAACAGGCAAUGGACUACACUAUAGUGGUGUUCACCACUACAAUGAAGAAAAUCGACGACACUAUCAUGAAGGAAACACUGAAAUCCCUCACAAGAUUAACCGAUCAGUUCCAGCAAGGUAAUUGUGUUUUUAACAUUGAAGACAUCGAACAACAAGAGUCUCAACUCGACAAGCUGCUGGAGAUGAUAAAAAAGAUGACGGGAGAAAAACGUCAACCUUUCUACACGUCUAAGAUGCUCCAGGAGUCUGAAGAAGCUCUGAAAAUACGAAAGGAAACAAAACCAAAACCAGAAGAAGAGUGGCGCUCUUUUUAUGACCGGUGUGGUUUGAUUGGAAUGGCUGUCGGCUGUGCAGUAGGGUAUUUUAUUUGUGGUGGUGAGCUGACGCCUACAACAGGAGCUGGGGUUGGCGCUGUAGUUGGUAUGAUGCUGUUCGUGGGAAUAGCGUUUUUAGGCGUACUUGCUAAAAUUAAAAUUCAGGCAUGAUGCAGAUAGAUUUCAAACAGCGUCUUUGAUUUGUUGCUUACGCUGAUCAGACCAAAUCUAGUGUAGAAAACCAUAAAGGGGAAAUCAUGGUGGAUGUAUGUUUAGCUAUUUUAGUUAAUGUUGACAUGAUUUUACCUAAAUUUUUAUGCUGCAAUAGAUGUGGGCUGCUGCGUGCUUCCCAUCACGCACUGUUUCUUCUUAAUUCACCAUGUGUUUAUACACCUCUCUGCAUUUAGUUAUUGGUUCUUAUUAAUCUUCAUCCUGUCUUCCUCCCCUCUUCCCCAACCAGUCACAGCAGAAGGCCGCCCCUCCCUGAGUCUGGUUCUGCUGCAGAAUUCUUCCUGUUAAAAGGGAGUUUUUCCUUCCUACUGUCUCAUAGAGGGUCAUAUGAUUGUUGGGGUUUUCUCUGUAUAAUGUGAGGGUCUUUUCUGUACAGCUUAAAGCACCUUGAGACAACUGUUUUUGUCAUUUGGUGUUAAACUAAUAAAAUUGAAUUGAAAUGACCUGAACUGAAAAUCACAACAACAGUUGCCUCAAGGUGCUGGUGUUAUUAAAAGUGAUUUGUCACAUACCAAGUGGACCAAUACCCAACAAGACCAGCAAGUUACUGUAUCUACAAAUUCAGUAAAGAACUGUAAUAGUGACCAACUGCAAAUGGAGAGCUAUGUCCACAGAAUGAUCACAGUGGGUGUGGUUCAGCACCAUCACGGCCAGCAUCACUCACAAGCGAACCAUGAGAAGUGGGCCAGUUUUUCCACAACACUACAGGGCCAGUUUGUGGGGGCACCAAGGUGUUCCCAGGCCAGCCGAGAGAUAUAAUCUCUCCAGCGCGUCCUGGGUCUGCCCCGGGGCCUCCUGCCGUUGGAACAUGCCCGGAA